rnacentral:rRNA from 1 species
CCUACGGGAGGCUGCAGUGAGGAAUAUUGGUCAAUGGACGAGAGUCUGAACCAGCCAAGUAGCGUGAAGGAUGACUGCCCUAUGGGUUGUAAACUUCUUUUAUAAAGGAAUAAAACGAGGCACGUGUGCCUUUUUGCAUAUACUUUAUGAAUAAGGAUCGGCUAACUCCGUGCCAGCAGCCGCGGUAAUACGGAGGAUCCGAGCGUUAUCCGGAUUUAGUGGGUUUAAAGGGAGCGUAGAUGGGUUGUUAAGUCAGUUGUGAAAGUUUGCGGCUCAACCGUAAAAUUGCAAUUGAUACUGGCAGUCUUGAGUACAGUUGAGGUAGGCGGAAUUCGUGGUGUAGCGGUGAAAUGCUGAGAUAUCACGAAGAACCACGAUUGCGAAGGCAGCUUACUAAACUGUGACUGACAUUGAUGCUCGAAAGUGUGGGUAUCAAACAGGAUUAGAUACCCGAGUAGUC